GACGAACGCUGGCGGCGUGCUUAACACAUGCAAGUCGAACGGAAAGGCCUCUUUCUGGGGGUACUCGAGUGGCGAACGGGUGUGUAACACGUGAGUAACCUGCCCUUUACUUUGUGUUAACUUCUGUAAACUUUGUCUAAUACCUGAUAUGAGCUCCUUCUGCCUGGUUGGGGUUGUAAAGUUUCUGGGGUUUGGGUUGGACUCGCGGCGUUUCUGCUUGUUGGUGGGGUAGUGGCUUUCCAAGGCUUUGACGGGUAGCCUGACUGAGUCGGUGACCGGCCAAAUUGGGACUGAGAUAAGGCCCAGACUCCGAAGGGAGGAAGCAGUGGGGAAUAUUGGAGAAUGGGUGGAAGCCUGAUGCAGAAAAGCCGGGUGCGGGAGGACGGACUUCGGGUUGUAAACCGAUUUCGCUCAUGACGAAGCUUUGUGUGACGGUAGUGGGUAAAGAAGCACCGGCUAACUACGUG
rnacentral:rRNA from 1 species